GAUUGUGAGUAAUUCAAACAUCUCUUUACCUCAACGGACUCUCUCAUACCUGCUCUUAUUGUUCACACUUCCAGUCUGGAGUGCCACAACCUUAUGGGACAGGUACCAUAAAUGGAUCACUAAUGCUAUGACUGUGGCAUACUGGCUCUGGCAUGGUAUUAAGCUAUUCAUGAUCUUCAUACUCAAAAUUGUACUGUCCUCAAUGAGGAAAGCCCUUGGAGACAUAAUGCUGAGUUUGAUCAGUUUCAUACCUGAGCAAGUUCACGAUGAGCAGCAUAGACGCAGAGAGUUGGCUGAGAGACACAUGGCCUCCUCUAAUCUGAAUGGUCACGUCUCUGCUGUUUUCCCGCCGAGUCCCUCCAUGGCACAGACCCUCCCAAACCUCUACACACUCCUGAUAUCACUAGAGACAGCAGAAAGUACGUGGAGAAGACGCAAGAUAG